GUAACGAUUACGUUGUUUCUGACGCUGAUUGCAAUUACAAGAGGUUUAAAGGGGGGUCCUACUGGCAGGCAAGCCUGCCGAGGAAACAAUGGGUGCGCAAAAAGCAAGGGUAGGGUCAGACAGGCAGCUCGAUCAGCUUACUAGCCAAGGCAGAACCAUAAAUGGAAACUACCUUCCGUUCAGCUGCCAGCCAGCAGAACCGUACAUCUACUGACUGUCCUAUUGGAGAGCGUGCCCCCGUGGGUCUAAGUUUUUUUGAAUGGUAAUGAUCCUUCCGCAGGUUCACCUACGGAAA
rnacentral:misc_RNA from 1 species